rnacentral:rRNA from 1 species
GACGAACGCUGGCGGCGUGCUUAACACAUGCAAGUCGAACGGAAAGGCCCUGCUUUUGUGGGGUGCUCGAGUGGCGAACGGGUGAGUAACACGUGAGCAACCUGCCCUUGACUUUGGGAUAACUUCAGGAAACUGGGGCUAAUACCGGAUAGGAGCUCCUGCUGCAUGGUGGGGGUUGGAAAGUCUCGGCGGUUGGGGAUGGACUCGCGGCUUAUCAGCUUGUUGGUGGGGUAGUGGCUGACCAAGGGUUUGACGGGUAGGCGGCCUGAGAGGGUGACCGGCGACAUUGGGACUGAGGGAGGGCCCAGAGUGGUACGGGGGGCAGCGGGGGGGAGUAUUGCACAGUGGGCGGGAGCCUGAGGCGGAGACGCCGGGGGCGGGAUGACGGCCUUCGGGGUGUAAACCGCUUUCGCCUGUGACGAAGCGGGAGUGACGGUAAUGGGUGAAGAAGCACCGGCUAACUACGUG